rnacentral:lncRNA from 9 species
CAGCGGUUCGCGCCGCGGCGCCCCGAUUGGCCGGCGGAACGCGCCGCGUCACAAUGGAGCCGGUCGGAGGCGGCGAGCCGGGCAGCGCCGGGGCUUCCCGCUGAGCCCGCAGCCCAGGCGGCGAGGAAGUGCGGCGCGGGGCCGCCGCCGGCCCGCCCGGAGCGGCGCGGGGCGAGCGCGGGGAGCGCCCGGGCCGGAGCGCGCAGGGUUCCUUGUAACUCUGCCUUGUCGGUCCUGUCCUGCAGUGUGUUUCUGCAGCGCUCAGUCCCCGGUCUGCAGCUUCUUCCAGAGACAUUACCAGCUGUUCAGUUUCUCUUCUCCUCUUUCCAGCUCCAUGCAGAUGCGAAGAGUGGUCCUUAGCUUAUGCAAGAUCCAGCAGGUGGUAGAUGACACAGCCAGGACUUGA